GCUGGUUCGCAUCCUGCGUCAUCAUCGUUUUCCGCCAUUAGAAACAGCAUUUGCGCGCGAUGCUGCUGUUGAAAUUCAUGUGUGUCAACUGUGUUUGAUAGUGCAGCAUAGGGUUCCUUGUGAAGAUGUCAACAACUCACUGGGAAGACAAGACAGGAGAACCACAGCAAGAACAUCAGCUUUAGGGAUAGAGAUGUUGAAGAAAACCAUCUGUUUUUGCUGGAGGAACCUGGAGGAGAUGUCAUGGGACACAAGGACACAAGGAUCAGAGGGACGAACUGGGCAUGUGGAAUGGACACAGGCAAUUUCAGGGUUCUCUGCUCCUCUUAGGCUUUGGCAGGUGCUGCCACUGAAGUCCUGUACAUUCCAACAGAAGGCAUUUGGAGUGAUUCAGGGUAAGGGGAUGCGGUGGCGCAGUGGGUUGGACCGCAGUCCUGCUCUUUGGUGGGUCUGGGGUUCGAGUCCCGCUUGGGGUGCCUUGCGACGGACUGGUGUCCCGUCCUGGGUGUGUCCCCUUCCCCCUCCGGCCUUACGCCCUGUGUUGCCGGGUAGGCUCCGGUUUCCCGUGACCCCGUGA
rnacentral:lncRNA from 1 species